UACGUAGGGUGCAAGCGUUGUCCGGAAUUAUUGGGCGUAAAGAGCUCGUAGGCGGUCUGUCGCGUCUGCUGUGAAAACUCGGGGCUUAACCCCGGGCCUGCAGUGGGUACGGGCAGACUAGAGUGCGGUAGGGGAGACUGGAAUUCCUGGUGUAGCGGUGAAAUGCGCAGAUAUCAGGAGGAACACCGGUGGCGACAGCGGCUCACUGGACCAUAACUGACGCUGAUGCACGAAAGCUAGGGGAGCAAACAGG
rnacentral:rRNA from 1 species